ensembl:scaRNA small Cajal body-specific RNA 6
GGUCUAUGAUGAGCUCCGUAAAAGGUCUGAUUACCCACAAUCCUCCAUCCCCCCCCCAUCGCUCCCAGCAGCCCCUGUUCUACCCAGCAUGCUCUAGUCGUGCAGCGUUGGUUUUCAGGAGCUGCUGACACGCAGGAUGUGACAUCACAAUCUGAGUCAGUCAGAGAUUCCAUUGGCCCAGUGUGAUGAUGAUGAUUGACAUCCGACAGAACCAAUCCGCAUGGAGCAAGGUGGCGGGGCAGAGGACAGGGAGAUGAUCACAGGUUUUCAAGCUGAGACC